rnacentral:rRNA from 1 species
UGAGGAAUAUUGGUCAAUGGACGGAAGUCUGAACCAGCCAAGUAGCGUGCAGGACGACGGCCCUAUGGGUUGUAAACUGCUUUUAUACGGGGAUAAACUGCGGGACGUGUCCCGCACUGCAGGUACCGUAUGAAUAAGGACCGGCUAAUUCCGUGCCAGCAGCCGCGGUAAUACGGAAGGUUCGGGCGUUAUCCGGAUUUAUUGGGUUUAAAGGGAGCGUAGGCCGUGGAUUAAGCGUGUUGUGAAAUGUAGACGCUCAACGUCUGAAUUGCAGCGCGAACUGGUUCACUUGAGUACGCACAACGUUGGCGGAAUUCGUCGUGUAGCGGUGAAAUGCUUAGAUAUGACGAAGAACUCCGAUUGCGAAGGCAGCUGACGGGAGCGCAACUGACGCUGAAGCUCGAAAGUGCGGGUAUCGAACAGG